CAGCAGCCACGGUAAUACGGAGGGUGCAAGCGUUAAUCGGAAUUACUGGGCGUAAAGCGCACGCAGGCGGUCUGUCAAGUCAGAUGUGAAAUCCCCGGGCUUAACCUGGGAACUGCAUUUGAAACUGGCAGGCUAGAGUCUUGUAGAGGGGGGUAGAAUUCCAGGUGUAGCGGUGAAAUGCGUAGAGAUCUGGAGGAAUACCGAUGGCGAAGGCAGCCAUCUGGCCUAAUACUGACGCUGAGGUACGAAAGCAUGGGGAGCAAACAGGAUUAGAUACCCGUGUAGUCCUGUCUCUUAACAC
rnacentral:rRNA from 1 species